UGAUCCUGGCUCAGAUUGAACGCUGGCGGCAGGCCUAACACAUGCAAGUCGAGCGGAAACGACUUAACUGAACCUUCGGGGGACGUUAAGGGCGUCGAGCGGCGGACGGGUGAGUAAUGCUUAGGAAUUUGCCCAGUCGAGGGGGAUAACCAUUGGAAACGAUGGCUAAUACCGCAUACGCCCUACGGGGGAAAGAGGGGGAUGCUUCGGCACCUUUCGCGAUUGGAUAAGCCUAAGUGAGAUUAGCUAGUUGGUGAGGUAAAGGCUCACCAAGGCGACGAUCUCUAGCUGGUUUGAGAGGAUGAUCAGCCACACUGGAACUGAGACACGGUCCAGACUCCUACGGGAGGCAGCAGUGGGGAAUAUUGCACAAUGGGCGCAAGCCUGAUGCAGCCAUGCCGCGUGUAUGAAGAAGGCCUUCGGGUUGUAAAGUACUUUCAGCGAGGAGGAAAGGGUGUGAGUUAAUACCUUACAUCUGUGACGUUACUCGCAGAAGAAGCACCGGCUAACUC
rnacentral:rRNA from 2 species